rnacentral:rRNA from 1 species
UACAGAGGGUGCGAGCGUUAAUCGGAAUUAUUGGGCGUAAAGAGCUCGUAGGCGGUUUGUCGCGUCUGUCGUGAAAGUCCGGGGCUUAACCCCGGAUCUGCGGUGGGUACGGGCAGACUAGAGUGCAGUAGGGGAGACUGGAAUUCCUGGUGUAGCGGUGGAAUGCGCAGAUAUCAGGAGGAACACCGAUGGCGAAGGCAGGUCUCUGGGCUGUAACUGACGCUGAGGAGCGAAAGCAUGGGGAGCGAACAGG